UACGGAGGAUGCGAGCGUUAUCCGGAUUUAUUGGGUUUAAAGGGAGCAUAGGUGGAUUGUUAAGUCAGUUGUGAAAGUUUGCGGCUCAACCGUAAAAUUGCAGUUGAAACUGGCAGUCUUGAGUACAGUAGAGGUGGGCGGAAUUCGUGGUGUAGCGGUGAAAUGCUUAGAUAUCACGAAGAACUCCGAUUGCGAAGGCAGCUCACUGGACUGCAACUGACGGUGAGGCGCGAAAGCGUGGGGAGCAAACAGG
rnacentral:rRNA from 1 species